GUGAGGAAUAUUGGUCAAUGGAGGCAACUCUGAACCAGCCAUGCCGCGUGAAGGAUGAAGGCGCUACGCGUUGUAAACUUCUUUUGUACGGGAAGAAACCUCUCUACGUGUAGGGAGCUGACGGUACCGUAAGAAUAAGCAUCGGCUAACUCCGUGCCAGCAGCCGCGGUAAUACGGAGGAUGCAAGCGUUAUCCGGAUUUAUUAGGUUUAAAGGGUGCGCAGGCGGAAAUGUAAGUCAGUGGUGAAAGCCUACAGCUUAACUGUAGAACUGCCAUUGAUACUGCUUUUCUUGAGUAUAGUUGAAGUAGGCGGAAUGUGUAGUGUAGCGGUGAAAUGCAUAGAUAUUACACAGAACACCGAUUGCGAAGGCAGCUUACUAAACUAUUACUGACGCUCAUGCACGAAAGCGUGGGGAGCGAACAGGAUUAGAAACCCCAGUAGUCC
rnacentral:rRNA from 1 species